rnacentral:miRNA from 1 species
UGUAUUACUUGGUGACCUCUGU